rnacentral:rRNA from 1 species
CAUCUACGGAGAGUUUGAUCCUGGCUCAGGACGAACGCUGGCGGCGUGCUUAACACAUGCAAGUCGAACGGUGAACCGCUUCGGUGGGGAUCAGUGGCGAACGGGUGAGUAACACGUGGGCAACCUGCCCCUGGCUCUGGGAUAACUCCAAGAAAUUGGGGCUAAUACCGGAUAUGACCGCUGACCGCAUGGUCUGGUG